rnacentral:rRNA from 1 species
UAUUUAUUAGAUAAAAAACCAAUGCCCUUCGGGGCUCCUUGGUGAUUCAUAAUAUCUUAACGAAUCGCAUGGCCUUGCGCCGGCGAUGGUUCAUUCAAAUUUCUGCCCUAUCAACUUUCGAUGGUAAGAUAGUGGCUUACCAUGGUCUCAACGGGUAACGGGGAAUUAGGGUUCUAUUCCGGAGAGGGAGCCUGAGAAACGGCUACCACAUCCAAGGAAGGCAGCAGGCGCGCAAAUUACCCAAUCCCAACUCAGGGAGGUAGUGACAAGAAAUAGCAAUGCGGGGCUUCUUGCUCUGCAAUUGGAAUGAGAACAAUUUAAAUCACUUAACGAGUAUCAAUUGGAGGGGAAGUCUGGGGCCAGCAGCCGCGGUAAUUCCAGCUCCCAUAGCGUAUAUGUAAAUUGGUGCCCGUUAAAAAGUCCGAGUUUAAACCUGGAACCUGGUUAAUCGGUCUUCCUAAUGAACGGCAGGGAUUCGGUCGGGUCUUUCCUUCUGGGGAGCCCUAUGCCCUUCACUGGGGGUAGUGGGGAACCAGGACUUUUACCUUGAAAAAAUUAGAGUGUUCAAAGCAGGCC